GGUCGAGUCGGCCUGCGCGGAAGAUGUAACGGGGCUAAACCAUGCACCGAAGCUGCGGCAGCGAACGUAUCACUUAAAGCGAUUCAGCGGGUUACGAUUGACGGAGCGAAGCGACGUCAAAGCGUAUACAAAGUCGAGUCGGUUUAAGGAUACGUUCGUUGGGUAGGGGAGCGUUCUGUAAGCCUGUGAAGGUGUGUCGUGAGGCAUGCUGGAGGUAUCAGAAGUGCGAAUGCUGACAUAAGUAACGAUAAAGCGGGUGAAAAGCCCGCUCGCCGGAAGACCAAGGGUUCCUGUCCAACGUUAAUCGGGGCAGGGUGAGUCGACCCCUAAGGCGAGGCCGAAAGGCGUAGUCGAUGGGAAACGGGUUAAUAUUCCCGUACUUGGUGUUACUGCGAAGGGGGGACGGAGAAGGCUAUGUUGGCCGGGCGACGGUUGUCCCGGUUUAAGCGUGUAGGUGUGUGUUCCAGGUAAAUCCGGUUCACUUUAACACUGAGGCGUGACGACGAGGCACUACGGUGCUGAAGCAACAAAUGCCCUGCUUCCAGGAAAAGCCUCUAAGCAUCAGGUAACAUCAAAUCGUACCCCAAACCGACACAGGUGGUCAGGUAGAGAAUACCAAGGCGCUUGAGAGAACUCGGGUGAAGGAACUAGGCAAAAUGGUGCCGUAACUUCGGGAGAAGGCACGCUGACACGUAGGUGAAGUGAUUUACUCAUGGAGCUGAAGUCAGUCGAAGAUACCAGCUGGCUGCAACUGUUUAUUAAAAACACAGCACUGUGCAAACACGAAAGUGGACGUAUACGGUGUGACGCCUGCCCGGUGCCGGAAGGUUAAUUGAUGGGGUCAGCGCAAGCGAAGCUCCUGAUCGAAGCCCCGGUAAACGGCGGCCGUAACUAUAACGGUCCUAAGGUAGCGAAAUUCCUUGUCGGGUAAGUUCCGACCUGCACGAAUGGCGUAAUGAUGGCCAGGCUGUCUCCACCCGAGACUCAGUGAAAUUGAACUCGCUGUGAAGAUGCAGUGUACCCGCGGCAAGACGGAAAGACCCCGUGAACCUUUACUAUAGCUUGACACUGAACAUUGAGCCUUGAUGUGUAGGAUAGGUGGGAGGCUUUGAAGUGUGGACGCCAGUCUGCAUGGAGCCGACCUUGAAAUACCACCCUUUAAUGUUUGAUGUUCUAACGUGGACCCGUGAUCCGGGUUGCGGACAGUGUCUGGUGGGUAGUUUGACUGGGGCGGUCUCCUCCUAAAGAGUAACGGAGGAGCACGAAGGUUGGCUAAUCCUGGUCGGACAUCAGGAGGUUAGUGCAAUGGCAUAAGCCAGCUUGACUGCGAGCGUGACGGCGCGAGCAGGUGCGAAAGCAGGUCAUAGUGAUCCGGUGGUUCUGAAUGGAAGGGCCAUCGCUCAACGGAUAAAAGGUACUCCGGGGAUAACAGGCUGAUACCGCCCAAGAGUUCAUAUCGACGGCGGUGUUUGGCACCUCGAUGUCGGCUCAUCACAUCCUGGGGCUGAAGUAGGUCCCAAGGGUAUGGCUGUUCGCCAUUUAAAGUGGUACGCGAGCUGGGUUUAGAACGUCGUGAGACAGUUCGGUCCCUAUCUGCCGUGGGCGCUGGAGAACUGAGGGGGGCUGCUCCUAGUACGAGAGGACCGGAGUGGACGCAUCACUGGUGUUCGGGUUGUCAUGCCAAUGGCACUGCCCGGUAGCUAAAUGCGGAAGAGAUAAGUGCUGAAAGCAUCUAAGCACGAAACUUGCCCCGAG
rnacentral:rRNA from 1 species